rnacentral:rRNA from 1 species
CGGCGGACGGGUGAGUAAUGUAUGGGGAUCUGCCCGAUAGAGGGGGAUAACUACUGGAAACGGUGGCUAAUACCGCAUAAUGUCUACGGACCAAAGCAGGGGCUCUUCGGACCUUGCACUAUCGGAUGAACCCAUAUGGGAUUAGCUAGUUGGUGAGGUAACGGCCCACCAAGGCGACGAUCCAUAGCCGACCUGAGAGGGUGACCGGCCACAUUGGGACUGAGACACGGCCCAA